UCUGUCCUAAGGGAUCUCUAAACAAGAUCCUGGGUUACUCUUCCCUUCUGGAACCUGCUGUAAGAAGCCUAUUUUCAGGCUGAAAGGGGCAGUGUCUUUUCUGUGUGUUUGUCUAUGUCUCCAUUCUGUUUCUCUGGAAGUGCUAGAAACCCCAGUAUCUGAUAUAAUUUCUAUUGAACAGCAUCUCAGAAAUCUUCUGCUGCCACUGAAGAAUUGUUACUGGUGCUCAAAGAGCUUCUUCGUCAAAUUUGAGCAAGCCUCUGAAUGGACAAGCAUGUAUUUUCAUCGCCCACUUUUUUUCCUCCAUUCUUCUUUCCCAUCCUGAUCACCAAUUUUGUUAAGAUGGACUUAAGCUAAAA